AGACAGCAGUAGCCGCGGUAAUACGAAGGGGGCUAGCGUUGUUCGGAUUUACUGGGCGUAAAGCGCACGUAGGCGGAUCGAUCAGUCAGGGGUGAAAUCCCAGAGCUCAACUCUGGAACUGCCUUUGAUACUGUCGAUCUGGAGUAUGGAAGAGGUGAGUGGAAUUCCGAGUGUAGAGGUGAAAUUCGUAGAUAUUCGGAGGAACACCAGUGGCGAAGGCGGCUCACUGGUCCAUUACUGACGCUGAGGUGCGAAAGCGUGGGGAGCAAACAGGAUUAGAUACCCGCGUAGUCCCUGUCUCUUAUAC
rnacentral:rRNA from 1 species